CCCAGCACUUAGACCAGCACUUAGACCAGCUUAGCAUCAGGAUGCAUGUCAAUGUGAAGAGGCUGUGAAACAUCCUUAAAUGUUGGGUAUCGAUGGAUAUAGGGUCAACCACACAGUUUAUCACCCCAAUGCGUCAGAGAAAGGACAUCAAUACUGAAGUGGGUAUGCAAAUGGAUUCCAUCUAUUCAAAACCAUGAAAGAACCUGCUAUGGCACAACCAGUAAUGAUGUUUCCCUCAAGCGGAAAGCAGUAGAGUGGACUUUCGUUUGAUUAGUCGCCACUAGCACCACAGAAUUCAUGUACAUUACAGCAGGGGUGUGCAUGAUCCUAACAGACAGCCAUUACCAACAUGAUCAAGGCCAUAUUGAAUGUUAUUGAAAUGUAUGUUUUCCAUAAGUUUCAGUAAAUGGAAAGCAUUGUCACUUUUUGUUUAAAUUCCUAUUGCUUAAAGAGGUAGUUCAGUUUUGGUAAAGUGGGUGCUACACAAAAUAAUUUGUUUGUGAGAUAAUGAAAAUCAAGUGUUAAAUUUGAAAUUUAGAAACAGCUGAAAUAUCAAUAAAUAUAUCCAGUCAGAAUAAAUUUGGGCCCCAAAUUUAUAAGAUGAUUUUUCUAAAAAUUAAUAAAAUGCUUACACUUUUCAAACAUUUUUAAAAGAGGUUUUUAAAAAGUUGUUGAUGAUUUCUUUAUAUCAUCAUUAUUUCAACACAACAUCACAAGCAUAACUUUGUAUGAAAAAUGGUUCAAACCAAUGUUUUUUUUAGAGCGCCUUCUUGUGUUUCAAUGGCUCUUUUUGAAUGAUAACAGGUUAUUUUUCUUCCAUAGUCUUCGUAAUUUUCUAUAACUUUCAAGCAUGGUGAAAUAAUAACUAUUAGAUUGUAGUGUUGUUGUUUUAUGGUAACUAAAGCUUAGCUCUACCAAAAUUGUACUACCCCUCUCAAGGGAAUGUCCACCAUUUACAUCGUCUGAAUAUUUUCUCGUAGAUGGAUGGGGACGAAUUCAAUAUUCAAAUAAAAUGUCAGGUCGAACACCUGUUACCGGUAUUUGGAUUCUACAAAUGAAAAA